GGGCCAUUAGCUCAGGUGGUUAGAGCGCACCCCUGAUAAGGGUGAGGUCCCCGGUUCAAGUCCAGGAUGGCCC
rnacentral:tRNA from 1 species